rnacentral:rRNA from 1 species
AUACGUAGGGAGCGAGCGUUGUCCGGAUUUACUGGGUGUAAAGGGUGCGUAGGCGGGACUGCAAGUCAGACGUGAAAUACCGAGGCUUAACUUCGGGGCUGCGUUUGAAACUGUGGUUCUUGAGUGAAGUAGAGGCAGGCGGAAUUCCUAGUGUAGCGGUGAAAUGCGUAGAUAUUAGGAGGAACACCAGUGGCGAAGGCGGCCUGCUGGGCUUUAACUGACGCUGAAGCACGAAAGCAUGGGGAGCAAACAGGAUUAGAUACCCUGGUAGUCCAUGCCGUAAACGAUGAUAGCUAGGUGUGGGGGGACUGACCCCUUCCGUGCCGCAGCAAACGCAAUAAGCUAUCCACCUGGGGAGUACGACCGCAAGGUUGAA